rnacentral:rRNA from 1 species
AGCGAACGCUGGCGGCAGGCCUAACACAUGCAAGUCGAACGAACCCUUCGGGGUUAGUGGCGGACGGGUGAGUAACACGUGGGAACGUGCCUUUAGGUUCGGAAUAACUCAGGGAAACUUGUGCUAAUACCGAAUGUGCCCUUCGGGGGAAAGAUUUGUCGCCUUUAGAGCGGCCCGCGUCUGAUUAGCUAGUUGGUGAGGUAAAGGCUCACCAAGGCUACGAUCAGUAGCUGGUCUGAGAGGAUGACCAGCCACAUUGGGACUGGGACACGUCCCAAACUCCUACGGGAGGCAGCAGUGGGGAAUCUUGCGCAAUGGGCGAAAGCCUGACGCAGCCAUGCCGCGUGGAUGAUGAAGGUCUUAGGAUUGUAAAAUCCUUUCACCGGUGAAGAUAAUGACUGUAGCCGGAGAAGAAGCCCCGGCUGACUUCGUGCCAGCCGCCGCGGUAAGAC